ensembl:lncRNA
AUUCACAAAAAAUAUAAAGAAGGCAUGACCUUCAUGUUCCUGUGUAGUUCCGGUCCUGAUUCUGUUCACUAAAGGUGAAUUGAUCAGCGCGAGACCUUCACUGUGACAGUGCUGGAGAAAGGAGCUCCAGGAAUGGAUUCAGAGACCGGUGCACUGGUGAGAAUAAGCAGGGAACAGGUACAACCCUGAAAACGGAGCCAUGCCCUGACCUACCACGUACCAGCGCCCCAUAUCUGACUUGGGGGGGACCGAGCUCUCAGGGGAAGGUAGGAGGUUGGCAAUUCCGCUCCACUUCAGCCCGUGCUCCCACUGAGGCACUGACACAGAGCGGUGCCUCACAGCGCUCACGUUUUACCAUCAAACGUCUGCAAGUUCUCACUCUGAUAUUCAUGGGCAGAUGAUGCGACUACUCCGCUUGCAUUUGGAAGGCCAAAUAGUAAGGAUCGAAACGUUGCAUCAUGAAGAGGUGCAUUGGGAACUGCUCGAUUGGAAACAAGGGAUGAUGUACGAAGCCAAUAUGCUGUGGUGACACUGCUUUCCUUGCGAUGCCACCCUGCUCCAUGGGCUGAGCCGCUUCUUCUCCUGCCUCACGACGCCAAGUGAACCACACGCCAUCGUACCUUCCACACCUGAGCAUGUCAAGCUGACAUUUUUAUUGCCCUGCUAAUUGCUACGUGGCCAAGGACUCGAAUCCUCUGUUAGCAGCCUGAGUAAGUGGUGGCUGAGGGAGGAGCGGCCAGCCCCGCACGCUCCACAGCAGGGAACAACUCCUUCGUUGGCAGCUCAUCCUCCCACUGCUCAGAAGGACGCGACCACCCUCUUCGCUGCCCCUUCAGCCUCCCUGCCCAGCACUUUCGCGCAGCGUCACACCCGUGCUAACGGGGCUGCCUCUACCCGCCGGGCCGCACCCUCAGCACCACACGCCCUCCCCCCGGGCACGCCACGGCCGC